rnacentral:tRNA from 1 species
GGCCUGAUGGUCUAGAGGUAUGAUUCUCUCUUAGGGUUAAGUACACCGUUUGGGAGAGGUCCCGGGUUCAAUCCCCGGUUAGGCCC